AAUCACUGGAAGAGAGUGUCUUCUGGACGCUUCCAAAACCUCUAGAGUGAUUUCAACCGGUGCCUUCUGUUCUAGUUCUCUUACAAUACGUACGUGAGUUGAUGGCGGGCCAGGCGAUGGUAAACCGUGAUGAUCACCGGUGGAUGAGGAUGACCGAAGAAAAAGAAACUCCAAAGACGCGUGCUGAGGGGGCGCAAGCUUUUCCCCCUUUGCUCGAUCGUCCUUGCCCG
rnacentral:lncRNA from 1 species